rnacentral:rRNA from 1 species
UUCCGUAGGGGGACCUGCGGAGGGAUCAUUACACAAAUAUGAAGGCGGGCUGGAACCUCUCGGGGUUACAGCCUUGCUGAAUUAUUCACCCUUGUCUUUUGCGUACUUCUUGUUUCCUUGGUGGGUUCGCCCACCACUAGGACAAACAUAAACCUUUUGUAAUUGCAAUCAGCGUCAGUAACAAAUUAAUAAUUACAACUUUCAACAACGGAUCUCUUGGUUCUGGCAUCGAUGAAGAACGCAGCGAAAUGCGAUAAGUAGUGUGAAUUGCAGAAUUCAGUGAAUCAUCGAAUCUUUGAACGCACAUUGCGCCCUUUGGUAUUCCAAAGGGCAUGCCUGUUCGAGCGUCAUUUGUACCCUCAAGCUUUGCUUGGUGUUGGGCGUCUUGUCUCUAGCUUUGCUGGAGACUCGCCUUAAAGUAAUUGGCAGCCGGCCUACUGGUUUCGGAGCGCAGCACAAGUCGCACUCUCUAUCAGCAAAGGUCUAGCAUCCAUUAAGCCUUUUUUUUCAACUUUUGACCUCGGAUCAGGUAGGGAUACCCCGUUGAACUUAAGCAUAUCAAUAAGGCGGGAGGA